CUCGGUACUCGCACGUAACCCCUCCCCAAGUUACCUCUUCCCCGUUUCGCGUAGAAGGCCAGUCGCGUGCCUCCCUUCUUCGCUGGAUCUGAUCACCGAUUCGCCAGACCCACGCCGUUGUCCUUCAAGUCGCGUGCCUCUCCUUCUCGCGUCCGAAGCCACCAACACCGUUUUUGUUUUUUUCAUGCCAAUCGUCGAAGAUUUGCGCCUAGCCGUCCGCGCCUCCCCUACUUUCACGAGCACCGCCAGAUUUGUUCCACGUCGUUUCUUUCUACCGGCUUUAGACGUUCAUCCAGUCGCCAUUUCUUGGGUUUUCUAUCGGAUCUUGAAUUUUUGUGGAGUUUUGGAAUCAAGAAUGGAAGGUUAUUGAGGUGUUGUCCAUCAAUUUUGAGAACGAUUCCAACACAGUUUGGGUAAGUGAUUGGAUCUUGGAACUGUAAAUUUUGGUGUAAUUUGGGUGAUUGGGAAUUUUGACCUUAGGUGGAAAUCCUAAUUGUGGUUUAUGACUUAAGACUUGGUUUAGUGAUCUUUUGGGCAAACACAAGUUAAAGUUGAUCGUGUUGAGGUUGAUGCCUAAAUCUCGUAGGGUCUGUAGUUUGUAAACAUGUGUAUGAACAAAUAUUUGUGAUGUAAUAAUAUGAGAUAUUUUCUUCACUUUGUCUAUGAAA